UACGGAGGGUGCAAGCGUUAAUCGGAAUUACUGGGCGUAAAGAGUACGUAGGUGGUUUAUUAAGUCAGAUGUGAAAGCCCCGGGCUCAACCUGGGAACUGCAUUUGAAACUAGUAAACUAGAGUAUGGUAGAGGGGGGUAGAAUUUCUAGUGUAGCGGUGAAAUGCGUAGAUAUUAGAAGGAAUACCAGUGGCGAAGGCGGCCCCCUGGACCAAUACUGACACUGAGGUACGAAAGCGUGGGUAGCGAACAGGAUUAGAAACCCUAGUAGUCC
rnacentral:rRNA from 1 species